GUGAGGAAUAUUGGACAAUGGGCGCAAGCCUGAUCCAGCCAUGCCGCGUGCAGGAAGACGCAUCUAUGGUGUGUAAACUGCUUUUGUACGGGAAGAAACACUCCCUCGUGAGGGAGCUUGACGGUACCGUAAGAAUAAGGAUCGGCUAACUCCGUGCCAGCAGCCGCGGUAAUACGGAGGAUCCAAGCGUUAUCCGGGAUCAUUGGGUUUAAAGGGUCCGUAGGCGGUUUAAUAAGUCAGUGGUGAAAGCCCAUCGCUCAACGAUGGAACGGCCAUUGAUACUGUUAGACUUGAAUUACAAGGAAGUAACUAGAAUAUGUAGUGUAGCGGUGAAAUGCUUAGAUAUUACAUGGAAUACCAAUUGCGAAGGCAGGUUACUACUUGUGGAUUGACGCUGAUGGACGAAAGCGUGGGGAGCGAACAGGAUUAGAAACCCUUGUAGUCC
rnacentral:rRNA from 1 species